CCUACGUGAGGCAGCAGUCGAGAAUCAUUCACAAUGGGGGAAACCCUGAUGGUGCGACGCCGCGUGGGGGAAUGAAGGUCUUCGGAUUGUAAACCCUGUUGUUAGAGAAGAAAGUGCGUGAGAGUAACUGUUCACGUUUCGACGGUAUCUAACCAGAAAGCCACGGCUAACUACGUGCCAGCAGCCGCGGUAAUACGUAGGUGGCAAGCGUUAUCCGGAUUUAUUGGGCGUAAAGGGAACGCAGGCGGUCUUUUAAGUCUGAUGUGAAAGCCUUCGGCUUAACCGGAGUAGUGCAUUGGAAACUGGGAGACUUGAGUGCAGAAGAGGAGAGUGGAACUCCAUGUGUAGCGGUGAAAUGCGGAGAUAUAUGGAAGAACACCAGUGGCGAAAGCGGCUCUCUGGUCUGUAACUGACGCUGAGGUUCGAAAGCGUGGGUAGCAAACAGGAUUAGAUACCCCUGUAGUC
rnacentral:rRNA from 1 species